UGGCCUGUGCAGAUCUCUGUCUCUCAGACC
rnacentral:piRNA from 1 species